ACUUUUGAUAAGAAACAAAGUCUUAGAUUUGAAUUCUGUCCAUCUUAUCUUGAAAUGUCACCAAUAAAUCUGACUGUGGUGCUCUCUAUCUAAUGCAGUGACGAUCACGCAGUGUGCCUCAGGUCAAGUGAAGCGGCAGCAUGCAGCACACUUGAAAGAUCACGUCUUCCUCUGUUUUUAACACCAGUUACGGGCUACAGCGCCAAAUAAACAUGAAUGAAUGCCAAAGGGUCUGUAAACAGAUACAGGACAUUUUACUGACAUUAAUCCUGUCACAUGUAAUCGCUCAAUCAGUGUUUCAGCCGUACUUCAGAGACGUCACAAACAGCUCGUCAACAAGAUGUCAUGUUUCUCAUCAAAUCCAUAUUCAGGGACCAUGAACUUGGUAUUCAGCUAGAAAAUUACUUCUGGAGAGGAGCAUUUUGAUAAAUAAAUACACCAUAUUACAUUCAUUGUAAUGUUUAAUCCAUAUUGUUGUUGUACUUUAGGAUAGUUGGUGAAAUAAUGGCAGUGAGCAUUACUCAUGAUGGACCUUUUUCAUGGAGUGGAUUUACAAUUUCAUUUCUUCCGGGAGAUUAAUAAAGAUGAGCUGACAUAACAGAUGCAGACCUGCUAGAUCUGAUUGACAAGAUUGAGACUGCAGACACUACAGCCUUGCUUGAGCUUUCUGAAAGAAUCGUAGCAUGUGGUACACAGGAUCCUAACAUGUGAUGAAAGGAAGACAUUGUCAGGAGUGAGGACUUUGACAGAACGGGGCACAAUGUCCGGCUUAAAGAUGGUGCUGUGCCAAACAUUUUUAACUUUCCAGCUCAUCUUCAGAGGGUCUGUGUAUCACUGACCAACAAUAAUUCAAGGUGGCUGGAAUAACAACCCUAAUGCCGUCCAGUUGAAGCACAUCUUUAGGAAGCUGAUGUUAAACAGAGGCAAUGUGACGGCACAGGAUGAGUCCCUACCAGCUGUCCUCAACACCUCUUCAAGCCUGUCAGCUGUAGAUAUGAGGAAAAGAUCUUCCAUCCCUGUUUGCUGACAUUCCUGCCCUAGUACAUGACCACAUUUACCUUCCCGUCUGCUUCGACGGUC